UAGCCGUAAACGAUACUCGCUAGGUGUCGGCCACGGUGCGACCGUUGUCGGUGCCGUAGGGAAGCCGUGAAGCGAGCCACCUGGGAAGUACGGCCGCAAGGCUGAAACUUAAAGGAAUUGGCGGGGGAGCACAACAACGGGUGGAGCUUGCGGUUUAAUUGGAUUCAACGCCGGAAAUCUUACCGGGACCGACAGCAACAUGAAGGUCAAGCUGAAGACUUUGCCGGAUUAGCUGAGAGGUGGUGCAUGGCGUAGUCGUGU
rnacentral:rRNA from 1 species